GACGAACGCUGGCGGCGUGCCUAAUACAUGCAAGUUGAGCGCUGAAGGUUGGUACUUGUACCAACUGGAUGAGCAGCGAACGGGUGAGUAACGCGUGGGGAAUCUGCCUUUGAGCGGGGGACAACAUUUGGAAACGAAUGCUAAUACCGCAUAAAAACUUUAAACACAAGUUUUAAGUUUGAAAGAUGCAAUUGCAUCACUCAAAGAUGAUCCCGCGUUGUAUUAGCUAGUUGGUGAGGUAAAGGCUCACCAAGGCGAUGAUACAUAGCCGACCUGAGAGGGUGAUCGGCCACAUUGGGACUGAGACACGGCCCAAACGCCUACGGGAGGCAGCAGUAGGGAAUCUUCGGCAAGGGACGAAAGUCUGACCGAGCAACGCCGCGGGAGUGAAGAAGGUUGUCGGAUCGUAAAACUCUGUUGGUAGAGAAGAACGUUGGUGAGAGUGGAAAGCUCAUCAAGUGACGGUAACUACCCAGAAAGGGACGGCUAACUACGUG
rnacentral:rRNA from 1 species